AGAGUUUGAUCAUGGCUCAGGACGAACGCUGGCGGCGUGCCUAAUACAUGCAAGUCGAGCGGACCGAACGAGAGCUUGCUCUUGUUUGGUCAGCGACGGACGGGUGAGUAACACGUGGGCAACCUGCCCGCAAGACCGGGAUAACUCCGGGAAACCGGAGCUAAUACCGGAUAACACCAAAGACCGCAUGGUCUUUGGUUGAAAGGCGGCUUCGGCUGUCACUUGCGGAUGGGCCCGCGGCGCAUUAGCUAGUUGGUGAGGUAACGGCUCACCAAGGCGACGAUGCGUAGCCGGCCUGAGAGGGUGACCGGCCACACUGGGACUGAGACACGGCCCAGACUCCUACGGGAGGCAGCAGUAGGGAAUCUUCCGCAAUGGACGAAAGUCUGACGGAGCGACGCCGCGUGAGCGAAGAAGGCCUUCGGGUCGUAAAGCUCUGUUGUGAGGGACGAAGGAGCGCCGUU
rnacentral:rRNA from 1 species